GCCCUUCGGGGAUAUCUCAGUUGGUAGAGCAUGAAAUUCUUAGAAUCAUAGAAUCAUAGAAUCAUAGAGUUGGAAGAGACCACAAGGGCCAAGCAGGAAACACCAUCAGAGCACUCCUGACAUAUGGUUGUCAAGCCUCUGCUUAAAGACCUCCAAAGAAGGAGACUCCACCACACUCCUUGGCAGCAAAUUCCACUGUCAGAACAGCUCUUACUGUCAGGAAGUUCUUCCUAAUGUUUAGGUGGAAUCUUCUUUCUUGUAGUUUGGAUCCAUUGUCCGCUUCUCUGGAGCAGCAGAAAACAACCUUUCUCCCUCCUCUAUGUGACAUCCUUUUAUAUAUUUGAACAUGGCUAUCAUAUCAGCCCUUAACCUCCUCUUCUCCAGGCUAAACAUGCCCUUAAUCUCAAGGUUGUGGGUUCAAGCCCCACAUUGGGCA